CGUCUGAUAUUGCUCUAAGAUAUAGUUUCUCUGGUGUCUGGAAUCCAGUCUUAGGAUUGUAGUAAAUAUCUCGUAGUCCUUGUUCUUUCAUAAUAUCAUCGUCCAUCUUAUAUUAACUAAUGUAAGCUUGCUACUCAAGGUACAUCUCGAUAAAUACUUCACCUAUAUCAAUAGGUUUCCCGUCUUGAUCUGUCAUGUGAAAUACAAGUUCCGAGAAAGAACCCUUAAUAACUGAAAUCCAGCUUUCAACAUCAAUGUAACUAACUACCGAGCCUAAUAAUGGUCUGUCAGUUGGAAUUGUAACAGUUGUUAUUACAUCGCUAGGUCUUCCCAAAGGGUUAACGUUAAAACUGUUACUUACCAGAUUGCAGUGUAUAUUUACGUAUCGUAGAUCAUUAUUAAAGUCAACUUUGCUAUCACUUGUCAAACUCCUCCCUUUUAGUAGGAUUAUAGGAUUAAAAGAUCUAUUAAAACCUAACAUAGUCAGUAAUCGUGUUUCUAUUGUGGUAUCUUGUUUUACUGCCUCUAUCUGGCAUCCUGCUGUUUCAGUAAAGUAGGUUAGCUUAACACCAUGUCUUUCAAGUAACUUCUUCAUACUGUCAAAUGUGUAGUAACCUUUAUUAACAAUUACAUCAGAUUCUCCAUCAUCUUUUUUCACUUUGAGAAUAGUUGUUGGUUCCCUUAUGUUAAAGUACUCCCAGAAUACUGAUACUCUCUUCACAAAGACUGAUUUAUAGUUGAUUGUUAGAACUGAGUUCUGUAGUGAUACAACUGUGUGCGAGCUCUGCAGUAAAAUUGUGAACUUCAUCUUAAUAACAUACGUUAGGUUAUUAAGAAUGAGACUAGGUGGAGGACAAGUUGGUAAGUCGCCGUAUCGGUCGUACCAAUAUGAAAAAAAGUAUGGAAAGGAAGACGAUGAAGAUCAUGUUGAUCCUGUUGCUGCUAAAAAGGCAGAGGACGCUGAAAGAGCUGGAUUUAUGGCAAGUUAUCCUUUUGCAGAUAUGAGAAGAUUUAAAUUUGAAGCUAUGACUACAAGUAGUGGCGAUAUUGGUGUUGUUACAUGGUUUGUGGAUUUAGAUGGAAUUACGUCUUAUGACAUAAGAUACGAUGGAUUUAAGGGGGAUAGCGAAUACACAUCAUACCUCACAUCAACGAAACCCAAGGCGGUGGCACCUCCCCUGAAAUCAAAAGGAUGGCCACAUCUUUGGAAUAGUGAUGGCACCGUUCAAAAAUAUGAACCUCUUGUCUUUCCAAAGGAUCCUAUUUACGAUGAGAGAAAGUUGGGUCUCAGUAGGGUUCUGGUUCAUGAUGACAGCUAUCAUAUUAAUACAUAUCGACCUCCUGUAAAUCUUCCCUACAACUUUAACAACUUUAAGAUCUAUGUAAAUGAAAACAGUUAUUUCAUGUCUAACUUCCCUGAUUCUGGUGUAGGUUGGGAUGAAGGUCCUAAUUUGACUAAUAAGGAUGUAAGAAAAGUUUCCUUUAAUACGAUACCAUACACUAGAAUGUUGUCUGGCGCCUACAUAGCUAGCUAUCUCAGCGGUGUAUCCUUAGA
rnacentral:lncRNA from 1 species